rnacentral:rRNA from 1 species
UACAGAGGGUGCGAGCGUUGUUCGGAAUUAUGGGCGUAAAGCGCACGUAGGCGGCUUUGCAAGUCGGAUGUGAAAUCCCUCGGCUUAACCAAGGAAGUGCAGUCCGAAACUGCAGAGCUUGAGUACUUAAGAGGAUCGCGGAAUUCCCGGUGUGAGAGGUGAAAUUCGUAGAUAUCGGGAGGAACACCAGUGGCGAAGGCGGCGAUCUGGGAAGAUACUGACGCUGAGGUGCGAAAGCGUGGGAG